GAGGCCUAAUGAGAUGUUAUUUAUCAGGUGAUGUUAUUGACUGGAGGUGAAAAGCUUCAGCUACCCAUUUAUAAACAUUAAGCCUCUAUUAAAGAAACAGGACAUUUUUUUCUUCAGGACUGUUACCAACUCUAAAAUGAAGGAAGGAACAGACCGGCUUACCAGUGGCCAGGCCCACCAGGGCGAGAGAGUCAACCAUGCCCGAACCACAGUGGUGUUCCGAUCUUCUCCCAUAUAUAUGACUCAGUGCUAUUCAUUUAUAUGGGGCAAAGACAGACUGAGGUCUCCUCUGGUAAGAUGGCUUUUUUUUGUGUGGACUGCUGUCUUGUAUUCUGAGCUUUUCCUGAGAUGGACUUACAAAGAGGGGGAGCCCAUGGCCCAUCUUACAGAGAGCAUCAGGACAGCACCGCUGGACCUAGCCAAAGAUCUUUGCUCCAGCAUCCUAUUCAGUCAUUUACCAGAUGCCUCCAGGAAGUCCACAAGCCCUGCAUGCGGGCAACAGCCACCUCUUUUCCACUGCAACACCUGGUAUUCAGAAGUGCACUGUUCCUGCACAUGGAGGUUCUAUUUAGCUAUGAUGGCUAACCACCUUGACAGAGCUUUAAGCAGAGCACACCCAGCUCAUGAGGAGCAGAUGUCCUUGAACAAACACUCUCUUUUUUUGCCUUUCCUCUGUCGUAGGGGUAUAGAGAGCCUAAAAUGCUUCUCAUGGUUCCUUGGCAGUACAUAAAUGUAAGUAAAUUUAAAAAAAUAAAACAAAGACUCAAACAGUGUA